GUCCAUUAGAAUGAAAAGACAACCACUAGGAGCGCAUCAACAGUAAACAUUGGAGGAGAAUCUAACCGAAGACACGGACUAACAGCCGUGAAAAGACAUCCCCAGCAAAAAAAAUCCCAUUACAAUGUCCCAUAACAAUUCCAGCUUCAUUUUUACAGCUUUAAAACGAGUGGAUGAGAGGGGUUUUGGUCGGCUCAUGUGCAGGGCGCUAUGCUCAGGGUGAAACUCUGUCGGUAGAUUAUCAUUUGUUUUUUUCUCCUAGUUGGGUUGGACCGCUUUGGUUGAAUUGGAUUCAAAGAGAUGGGGUGCAAGGCCCGGUCAACGAAAUGGGCUCAAUCCAAAGUCCAAUUUCAACUUCCCGGAAAACAGAAUCUGAAGUUCUCAACGGCGGAAUAAUUGACAGUUGGGGGAACUCAGACUUGAAAUCUGCCAGGAAAGAAAACAUGGCUGCCAAUUUCUGGACUUCGUCCCACUAGUAUGCUCCUUUCGAUCCCGAAAUUGUUUCCCAUGUUUCUGAUUUUGUUGUUUGUUUCGAUUUUCGUAGGUUUAAAUGUGUUUUCCAACGUGGGUUUUUGUUAUUUGUUGAUUAUAUCUGUGGUGGAUGCUGAAUUGUUACGUUUUUGUUGAACUUUCUUGGUUUCGAUUGAGCUUCUUAUGCCCUUGCAUUUAAGAACUUCAUUAGGUAUGAGUCGGCAGCUGCAUUGAAUUUCGCAUGCUAAUCGAUACAAAAGAACUAAAAUUUGAUAGUUCAGCUGUAGUUAAUCAGAGUGUUGGGAUGGAUGUACAGAUUCUUGUUUGAUCAUGAUAUAACAAUUCAGCGAAUGGUACUAUGCAUUACCGAACGUGCUUGAUUGCGGAUUAUUGUUUGGGUUAAUGCACAGAAAGAAUUGUAACUUUUAGCAGGAUUAUCAAGAAUUCCUAAAUGAUGAAAUGUAACCUUUGGAGCCUUUUCACUGGAUCGAAACGACAGAAGAAACAAAUUGUUGUUCUGUCAUGCGGUUGUGUGAGUUGGUUCUCUGCUAAAUGAUCAUUUCCCCUAGAAGUUGUCAUAUGGUUCUUGGCUACUUACCAUCUUAUAAAGUUGGUUUGGGCAUCUUCUUUGUUGAAGUGAUGCUUUUUUUGUAUCCUUAUACCAUAUUGUUAUUAUUUUCACGUAAUUGAACUCUUAGGAAUAGAGCUUCUGAUACAAGAUUAAUGGAUGUUGCUCAAAUGCACGUGCAUAAUACUGCUGAUCACUAUGUUUUUCAUAUCUGCUUUACUGUAAAUUAAUCGUUUUUUGUUCUUUUCCCUUUUCCUUUCUUUCAGAUAUAUCAAGAUUGGCACAACUUGUAAAAGUGAGACAAAGGGUUGUAGCUACCGCAGUUACAUAUAUGAGACGUGUGUACACCAAGAAGAGUAUGUAUGAUCCACGUCUCGUAGCUCCAACCUGCCUGUGCCUGGCAUCUAAAGCGGAAGAAAGCACAAGGCAAGCUAAACUUCUAGUAUUUUAUAUAAAAAAAGAUUUAUUUAGAUGAUAAGUAUAGAUAUGAGGUCAAAGACAUACUUGAAAUGGAAAUGAAGAUUUUAGAAGCUCUCAACUAUUAUCUGGUUGUAUACCAUCCUUAUCGUUCGUUGUCUCAGUUGCUUCAAGAUGCAGGCUUAAACGAUACAAGUAUGACUCAGUUAACUUGGGGAGUUGUAAAUGACACGCACAAGAUGGACCUUGCACUUGUACAUCCUCCACACCUGAUUGCUUUAGCUUGCAUAUGCAUCGCUAGCGUACUCAGAGAUAAAGAUACCACAGCAUGAUUUGAAGAGCUUCGUGUGGACAUGAAUGUGGUGAAAAACAUAUCAAUGGAGAUAUUAGAUUUCUACGAAAACCACCGCAUGAUCCCGGAGGAAAGGUUUAAUGCUGCACUCAACAAGCUAGCCUACAAACCAUAGAUGGCCGGACAAGCCUUCCCGCUAGCACAGCCGGUCAAUGUACGAAGAACUCUAUCAACGGUAACCUUCUGGGAGAACAAUAGUGUCAUAUAUAUCAGAAAGCUUCCUUUCGAUGAACAUUGGAGUCACAUUAGGGUUUUCUCUGGCAUAAUUGCUACAUUUUUCUACAAAAAUUACUUCAACAUUUCAUCGUUGCCAAUAUUUCAAAAAAAAAAAGAAAAAAAAUCGCCACUUACAAGUCAGAGACUCGUAGACAAAGGAAACUUAUGAUUUCACUCUUGACUCUGUUUA